GUAUGAAUGUGACAGUUAUUGGGUCAGACAGUGUUUGAAUGUGACAGUUAUUGGGUCAGACAGUGUUUGAAUGUGACAGUUAUUGGGUCAGACGGUGUAUGAAUGUGACAGUUAUUGGCAGGCUUUGGGGACAAAGGGAACAGAGUCCCUCUUUCCGCGCUGGGACCUCGGGAAGGAUUGUGGGAUGUAUCAUCGUGUGUGUGAUCCACCACUUGCAAGGGGUUAUGCAUAUAAGCUGUGUGUGGCCAAUAAAACUGUGUUGUACCUCCAGGGCUGUGUG